AUUGAACGCUGGCGGCAGGCCUAACACAUGCAAGUCGAACGAGUGGCGGACGGGUGAGUAAUGUAUGGGAAACUGCCUGAUGGAGGGGGAUCACUACUGGAAACGGUAGCUAAUACCGCAUACUAUCGGAUGUGCCCAGAUGGGAUGAGCUAGUAGGUGGGGUAAAGGCUCACCUAGGCGACGAUCCCUAGCUGGUCUGAGAGGAUGACCAGCCACACUGGAACUGAGACACGGCCCAGACUCCUACGGGAGGAAGCAGUGGGGAAUAUUGCACAAUGGGCGAAAGCCGGAUGCAGCCAUGCCGCGUGUAUGAAGAAGGCCUUCGGGUUGUAAAGUACUUUCAGCGGGGAGGCGUUACCCGCAGAAGAAGCACCGGCUAACUCCGUGCCAGCAGCCGCGGUAAUAC
rnacentral:rRNA from 1 species